AUUGAACGCUGGCGGCAUGCUUUACGCAUGCAAGUCGAACGGCAGCGGGGAGGAGCUUGCUUCUCUGCCGGCGAGUGGCGAACGGGUGAGUAAUACAUCGGAACGUGUCGAGAAGAGGGGGAUAACCACCCGAAAGGGUGGCUAAUACCGCAUAAAUUCUGAGGAAGAAAGCUGGGGACCUAGGAAUAGGCCUAGCGCUUUUUGAGCGGCCGAUGUCGGAUUAGCUAGUUGGUGAGGUAAAGGCUCACCAAGGCGAAGAUCUGUAGCGGGUCUGAGAGGAUGAUCCGCCACACUGGGACUGAGACACGGCCCAGACUCCUACGGGAGGCAGCAGUGGGGAAUUUUGGGCAAUGGGGGCAACCCUGAUCCAGCCAUGCCGCGUGUAUGAAGAAGGCCUUAGGGUUGUAAAGUACUUUUGUUAGGGAAGAAAAGUCAGCUGUGAAUAAUGGCUGAUACUGACGGUACCUAAAGAAUAAGCACCGGCUAACUACGUG
rnacentral:rRNA from 1 species